rnacentral:rRNA from 1 species
GACGAACGCUGGCGGCGUGCCUAAUACAUGCAAGUAGAACGCUGAAGGAGGAGAUUGCUUCUCUGGAUGAGUUGCGAACGGGUGAGUAACGCGUAGGGAACCUGCCUGGUAGCGGGGGAGAACUAUUGGAAACGAUAGCUAAUACCGCAUAAUAGUAGAUGUUGCAUGACAUUUGCUUAAAAGGUGCAAUUGCAUCACUACCAGAUGGAACUGCGUUGUAUUUUCUAGGUGGGGGGGGAAAGGCUCACAAAGGCGAAGAUACAUAGCCGACCUGAGAGGGGGAACCGCCACACUGGGACCGGGACACGGCCCAGACUCCUACGGGAGGCAGCAGUAGGGUAUCUUCCGCCAAGGGCGGAAGUCUGAACGGGCAAAGCCGGGUGAGUGAAGAAGGUUUUCGGAUUCUAAAGCUCUGUUGUAAGAGAAGAACGAGUGUGAGAGUGGAAAGUUCACACUGUGACGGUAACUUACCAGAAAGGGAAGGCUAACUACGUG